UUGAGCCUACGGGGGGCAGCAGUAGGGAAUCUUCCACAAUGGGCGAAAGCCUGAUGGAGCAACGCCGCGUGGGUGAAGAAGGUCUUCGGAUCGUAAAACCCUGUUGUUAGAGAAGAAAGUGCGUGAGAGUAACUGUUCACGUUUCGACGGGAUCUAAACAGAAAGCCACGGCUAACUACGUGCCAGCAGCCGCGGUAAUACGUAGGUGGCAAGCGUUAUCCGGAUUUAUUGGGCGGAAAGGGAACGCAGGCGGGCUUUUAAGUCUGAUGUGAAAGACUUCGGCUUAACCG
rnacentral:rRNA from 1 species